rnacentral:rRNA from 1 species
GUGGAUUAGAUACCCUGGUAGUCCACGCCGUAAACGAUGGAUACUAAGUGUUGGAGAAAUUCAGUGCUGUAGUUAACGCAAUAAGUAUCCCGCCUGGGGAGUAUGCACGCAAGUGUAAAACUCAAAGGAAUUGACGGGGGCCCGCACAAGCGGUGGAGUAUGUGGUUUAAUUCGAAGCAACGCGAAGAACCUUACCAGGUCUUGACAUACCGCGCAAAAGCAUAGAGAUAUGUAAUAGUUAUGGCGGAUACAGGUGGUGCAUGGCUGUCGACAACU